CCUACGGGUGGCAGCAGUGAGGAAUAUUGGUCAAUGGGCGCGAGCCUGAACCAGCCAAGUCGCGUGAGGGAAGACGGUCCUAUGGAUUGUAAACCUCUUUUGUCGGGGAGCAAAAGACGCCACGCGUGGCGUUCCGAGAGUACCCGAAGAAAAAGCAUCGGCUAACUCCGUGCCAGCAGCCGCGGUAAUACGGAGGAUGCGAGCGUUAUCCGGAUUUAUUGGGUUUAAAGGGUGCGUAGGCGGAAGGUUAAGUCAGCGGUCAAAUGUCGGUGCUCAACACCGGCCUGCCGUUGAAACUGGUCUUCUUGAGUGAGCGAGAAGUAUGCGGAAUGCGUGGUGUAGCGGUGAAAUGCAUAGAUAUCACGCAGAACUCCGAUUGCGAAGGCAGCAUACCGGCGCUCAACUGACGCUGAGGCACGAAAGCGUGGGGAUCGAACAGGAUUAGAUACCCGUGUAGUC
rnacentral:rRNA from 1 species